rnacentral:rRNA from 1 species
GUAGUCUCGCACAGAUGCAUAUCAAUAAGCGGAGGAAAAGAAACUAACAAGGAUUCCCCUAGUAACGGCGAGUGAAGCGGGAAGAGCUCAAAUUUGAAAUCUUAAAGGGUUUCCCUUUACGAAUUGUAGUUUAAAGAAGUGUUCUCUGUUGAGGUUUUGGUAAAAGUUCUUUGGAAUAGGACAUCAUAGAGGGUGAGGAAUCCCGUAUUUGACCUUUACUUUCAACUUUGUGAUACACUUUCAAAGAGUCGGAUUGUUUGGGAAUGCAGUCCAAAAUGGGUGGUAAAUUUCAUCUAAAGCUAAAUAUUGGCGAGAGACCGAUAGCGAACAAGUACCGUGAGGGAAAGAUGAAAAGAACUUUGAAAAGAGAGUUAAACAGUACGUGAAAUUGUCAAAAGGGAAGCGUUUGACACCAGUGUUGUUUUUCUGAAAAUCAAUUAAAGAACUGUUUAUGCUAAGUUGUUUAGACUUUAUCAGCUAACUGUUUAGUUUUGAGCUUUUCUUUAAUGCACUUUUCAGUUAACAAGUCAACAUCAAUUUCUUUUGCUGUAAAAAAGCUUGAGGAAGGUGGCUUGAGAUUCGUCUUAAGUGUUUAUAGCCUCUUGCCUAUGCAGUCGGAGAGAUUGAGGUCUGCAGCGUAGAUCCUUCGGGGCUAAAUGCAUUUGUGCUAAGUUAUAGCAUUUCAUAGACAACUUGUUGACUAUGAUUUGUCUUGUAGCUUACUCGCUUAUGUUAUUUUACCUACGCUUAGGAUGUUGACAGCAGUAUAGACUGU